rnacentral:rRNA from 1 species
GCCCUGGCAGUCAGAGGCGAUGAAGGGCGUGCUAAUCUGCGAUAAGCGCCGGUAAGGUGAUAUGAACCGUUAUAACCGGCGAUACCCGAAUGGGGAAACCCAGUGUGACUCGUCACACUAUCAUUAACUGAAUCCAUAGGUUAAUGAGGCGAACCGGGGGAACUGAAACAUCUAAGUACCCCGAGGAAAAGAAAUCAACCGAGAUUCCCCCAGUAGCGGCGAGCGAACGGGGAGGAGCCCAGAGCCUGAAUCAGCAUGUGUGUUAGUGGAAGCGUCUGGAAAGGCGCGCGAUACAGGGUGACAGCCCCGUACACAAAAGCGCAUGUGCUGUGAGCUCGAUGAGUAGGGCGGGACACGUGGUAUCCUGUCUGAAUAUGGGGGGACCAUCCUCCAAGGCUAAAUACUCCUGACUGACCGAUAGUGAACCAGUACCGUGAGGGAAAGGCGAAAAGAACCCCGGCGAGGGGAGUGAAAAAGAACCUGAAACCGUGUACGUACAAGCAGUGGGAGCACAGGUUUACCUGUGUGACUGCGUACCUUUUGUAUAAUGGGUCAGCGACUUAUAUUCUGUAGCAAGGUUAACCGAAUAGGGGAGCCGGAGGGAAACCGAGUCUUAAUUGGGCGUUAAGUUGCAGGGUAUAGACCCGAAACCCGGUGAUCUAGCCAUGGGCAGGUUGAAGGUUGGGUAACACUAACUGGAGGACCGAACCGACUAAUGUUGAAAAAUUAGCGGAUGACCUGUGGCUGGGGGUGAAAGGCCAAUCAAACCGGGAGAUAGCUGGUUCUCCCCGAAAGCUAUUUAGGUAGCGCCUCGUGAAUUCAUCUCCGGGGGUAGAGCACUGUUUCGGCUAGGGGGCCAUCCCGGCUUACCAACCCGAUGCAAACUGCGAAUACCGGAGAAUGUUAUCACGGGAGACACACGGCGGGUGCUAACGUCCGUCGUGAAGAGGGAAACAACCCAGACCGCCAGCUAAGGUCCCAAAGUCAUGGUUAAGUGGGAAACGAUGUGGGAAGGCCCAGACAGCCAGGAUGUUGGCUUAGAAGCAGCCAUCAUUUAAAGAAAGCGUAAUAGCUCACUGGUCGAGUCGGCCUGCGCGGAAGAUGUAACGGGGCUAAACCAUGCACCGAAGCUGCGGCAGCGACACUGUGUGUUGUUGGGUAGGGGAGCGUUCUGUAAGCCUGUGAAGGUGUGUCGUGAGGCAUGCUGGAGGUAUCAGAAGUGCGAAUGCUGACAUAAGUAACGAUAAAGCGGGUGAAAAGCCCGCUCGCCGGAAGACCAAGGGUUCCUGUCCAACGUUAAUCGGGGCAGGGUGAGUCGACCCCUAAGGCGAGGCCGAAAGGCGUAGUCGAUGGGAAACGGGUUAAUAUUCCCGUACUUGGUGUUACUGCGAAGGGGGGACGGAGAAGGCUAUGUUGGCCGGGCGACGGUUGUCCCGGUUUAAGCGUGUAGGUGUGUGUUCCAGGUAAAUCCGGUUCACUUUAACACUGAGGCGUGACGACGAGGCACUACGGUGCUGAAGCAACAAAUGCCCUGCUUCCAGGAAAAGCCUCUAAGCAUCAGGUAACAUCAAAUCGUACCCCAAACCGACACAGGUGGUCAGGUAGAGAAUACCAAGGCGCUUGAGAGAACUCGGGUGAAGGAACUAGGCAAAAUGGUGCCGUAACUUCGGGAGAAGGCACGCUGACACGUAGGUGAAGUGAUUUACUCAUGGAGCUGAAGUCAGUCGAAGAUACCAGCUGGCUGCAACUGUUUAUUAAAAACACAGCACUGUGCAAACACGAAAGUGGACGUAUACGGUGUGACGCCUGCCCGGUGCCGGAAGGUUAAUUGAUGGGGUCAGCGCAAGCGAAGCUCCUGAUCGAAGCCCCGGUAAACGGCGGCCGUAACUAUAACGGUCCUAAGGUAGCGAAAUUCCUUGUCGGGUAAGUUCCGACCUGCACGAAUGGCGUAAUGAUGGCCAGGCUGUCUCCACCCGAGACUCAGUGAAAUUGAACUCGCUGUGAAGAUGCAGUGUACCCGCGGCAAGACGGAAAGACCCCGUGAACCUUUACUAUAGCUUGACACUGAACAUUGAGCCUUGAUGUGUAGGAUAGGUGGGAGGCUUUGAAGUGUGGACGCCAGUCUGCAUGGAGCCGACCUUGAAAUACCACCCUUUAAUGUUUGAUGUUCUAACGUGGACCCGUUACCCGGGUUGCGGACAGUGUCUGGUGGGUAGUUUGACUGGGGCGGUCUCCUCCUAAAGAGUAACGGAGGAGCACGAAGGUUGGCUAAUCCUGGUCGGACAUCAGGAGGUUAGUGCAAUGGCAUAAGCCAGCUUGACUGCGAGCGUGACGGCGCGAGCAGGUGCGAAAGCAGGUCAUAGUGAUCCGGUGGUUCUGAAUGGAAGGGCCAUCGCUCAACGGAUAAAAGGUACUCCGGGGAUAACAGGCUGAUACCGCCCAAGAGUUCAUAUCGACGGCGGUGUUUGGCACCUCGAUGUCGGCUCAUCACAUCCUGGGGCUGAAGUAGGUCCCAAGGGUAUGGCUGUUCGCCAUUUAAAGUGGUACGCGAGCUGGGUUUAGAACGUCGUGAGACAGUUCGGUCCCUAUCUGCCGUGGGCGCUGGAGAACUGAGGGGGGCUGCUCCUAGUACGAGAGGACCGGAGUGGACGCAUCACUGGUGUUCGGGUUGUCAUGCCAAUGGCACUGCCCGGUAGCUAAAUGCGGAAGAGAUAAGUGCUGAAAGCAUCUAAGCACGAAACUUGCCCCGAG